rnacentral:rRNA from 1 species
AACGAACGCUGGCGGCAGGCUUAACACAUGCAAGUCGAACGCCCCGCAAGGGGAGUGGCAGACGGGUGAGUAACGCGUGGGAACAUACCCUUUCCUGCGGAAUAGCUCCGGGAAACUGGAAUUAAUACCGCAUACGCCCUACGGGGGAAAGAUUUAUCGGGGAAGGAUUGGCCCGCGUUGGAUUAGCUAGUUGGUGGGGUAAAGGCCUACCAAGGCGACGAUCCAUAGCUGGUCUGAGAGGAUGAUCAGCCACAUUGGGACUGAGACACGGCCCAAACUCCUACGGGAGGCAGCAGUGGGGAAUAUUGGACAAUGGGCGCAAGCCUGAUCCAGCCAUGCCGCGUGAGUGAUGAAGGCCUUAGGGUUGUAAAGCUCUUUCACCGGAGAAGAUAAUGACGGUAUCCGGAGAAGAAGCCCGGCUA